rnacentral:rRNA from 1 species
UAGAUACCCUGGUAGUCCACGCCGUAAACGAUGUCGACUUGGAGGUUGUGCCCUUGAGGCGUGGCUUCCGGAGCUAACGCGUUAAGUCGACCGCCUGGGGAGUACGGCCGCAAGGUUAAAACUCAAAUGAAUUGACGGGGGCCCGCACAAGCGGUGGAGCAUGUGGUUUAAUUCGAUGCAACGCGAAGAACCUUACCUACUCUUGACAUCCAGAGAACUUAGCAGAGAUGCUUUGGUGCCUUCGGGAACUCUGAGACAGGUGCUGCAUGGCUGUCGUCAGCUCGUGUUGUGAAAUGUUGGGUUAAGUCCCGCAACGAGCGCAACCCUUAUCCUUUGUUGCCAGCGAUUCGGUCGGGAACUCAAAGGAGACUGCCAGUGAUAAACUGGAGGAAGGUGGGGAUGACGUCAAGUCAUCAUGGCCCUUACGAGUAGGGCUACACACGUGCUACAAUGGCAUAUACAAAGAGAAGCGACCUCGCGAGAGCAAGCGGACCUCAUAAAGUAUGUCGUAGUCCGGAUUGGAGUCUGCAACUCGACUCCAUGAAGUCGGAAUCGCUAGUAAUCGUAGAUCAGAAUGCUACGGUGAAUACGUUCCCGGGCCUUGUACACACCGCCCGUCACACCAUGGGAGUGGUUGCAAAAGAAGUAGGUAGCUUAACCUUCGGGAGGGCGCUUACCACUUUGUGAUUCAUGACUGGGGUGAGCGCCCAAGGGGGAAAACACAAAA